rnacentral:rRNA from 1 species
GACAUUCAGCAAUGGAUGUUUAGCGGCGGACUGGUGAGUAACGCGUGGGCAACCUGCCUCAUACAGGGGGAUAACACAGGGAAACUUGUGCUAAUACCGCAUAAUAUCAUGAAAGGACAUCCUUUUAUGAUCAAAGGAGCAAUCCGGUGUGAGAUGGGCCCGCGUCCGAUUAGCUAGUUGGUGGUGUAACGGACCACCAAGGCGACGAUCGGUAGCCGAACUGAGAGGUUGAUCGGCCACAUUGGAACUGAGACACGGUCCAGACUCCUACGGGAGGCAGCAGUGGGGAAUAUUGCACAAUGGAGGAAACUCUGAUGCAGCAACGCCGCGUGAAGGAUGAAGGUUUUCGGAUUGUAAACUUCUUUGAUUGGGGACGAAACAAUGACGGUACCCAAAAAACAAGCCACGGCUAACUACGUGCCAGCAGCCGCGGUAAUACGUAGGUGGCGAGCGUUGUCCGGAAUUACUGGGUGUAAAGGGCGUGUAGGCGGGACUGUAAGUCAGAUGUGAAAUCCCGAGGCUUAACCUCGGAGCUGCAUCUGAAACUAUAGUUCUUGAGUGCUGGAGAGGAAAGCGGAAUUCCUAGUGUAGCGGUGAAAUGCGUAGAUAUCGGGAGGAACGCCGGUGGCGAAGGCGAGUCCCUGGAACACUCCUGACGCUGAGGCACGAAAGCUAGGGGAGCAAACAGGAUUAGAUACCCUGGUAGUCCUAGCCCUAAACGGUGCACGUUUGCCGUGGGCGGAUUCGACCCCGUCCGUGGCGUAGCUAACGCGUUAAACGUGCCGCCUGGGGAGUACGGCCGCANGGUUGAAAC